rnacentral:lncRNA from 1 species
UACAACGAGGAGAGAGAGAGAGGGUAUAAUGGAAGGGACACAAGAAGAAGGAGAGAGCGAGGGUCAUAUGGACAGGGACUACAAGAAGAAGGAGAGAGAGAGAGGGCAUAUGGAAGGGACUACAGAAGCGAGAUAGGAGAGAGCAAGAGGAUAUAUGGAAGGGACUACAAGAAGAAGGAGCGAGGACGAGAGGAUAUAUGGAGGGACUACAAGAAGGGAGAGAGAGAGAGGUAUAUUGAAGCGAAGACACAAGAGGGAGAGACGGAGGGUAUAUGGAAGGACUACAAGAAGAAGGAGAGAGAGAGAGAGGGUAUAUGGAAGGGACUACAAGAAGAAGGAGAGAGAGGUUAUAUGGAAGGGACUACAAAGAAGGAGAGAGAGGUAUAUGGAAGGACUACAAGAAGACAGGAGAGAGAGAGAGGGUAUAUGGAAGGGAACUACAAGAGCAGGAGAGAGAGGGGUAUAUGAAGGGACUACAAGAAGAAGGAGAGAGAGGGUCUAUGGAAGGGACUUACAAGAAGAAGGAGAGAGGAGAAGGGUAUAGGAAGGGACUAAAGAAGAAGGAGAG